rnacentral:rRNA from 1 species
UGCAGUCGAACGGUAUCCCGGACUUGUUUCGGGAGAGAGUGGCGCACGGGUGCGUAACGCGUAUGCAACCUGCCUUCCACAGGGGGAUAGCCCGGGGAAACCCGGAUUAAUACCCCAUGGCAUAUUGGACCGGCAUCGGUACUAUAUUAAAGAUUCAUCGGUGGAAGAUGGGCAUGCGUAGGAUUAGCUGGUUGGUGCGGUAACGGCGCACCAAGGCGACGAUCCUUAGGGGUUCUGAGAGGAAGGUCCCCCACACUGGCACUGAGAUACGGGCCAGACUCCUACGGGAGGCAGCAGUAGGGAAUAUUGGUCAAUGGGCGGGAGCCUGAACCAGCCAUGCCGCGUGCAGGAAGACGGCCUUACGGGUUGUAAACUGCUUUUGUACGGGAAGAAAAGGCCCAUGCGUGGGACAUUGCCGGUACCGUACGAAUAAGCACCGGCUAACUCCGUGCCAGCAGCCGCGGUAAUACGGAGGGUGCAAGCGUUGUCCGGAUUUAUUGGGUUUAAAGGGUGCGUAGGCGGCCCGGUAAGUCAGCGGUGAAAGUUUCCGGCUCAACCGGGAAACUGCCGUUGAUACUGUCGGGCUUGAGUGCCGAUGGGGGUACAUGGAAUUUAUGGUGUAGCGGUGAAAUGCAUAGAUACCAUAAGGAACACCGAUAGCGAAGGCAUUGUACUGAUCGGCAACUGACGCUGAGGCACGAAAGCGUGGGUAGCGAACAGGAUUAGAUACCCUGGUAGUCCACGCCGUAGACGAUGAUCACUCGCUGUUAUGCCGACAAGGUGUAGUGGCCAAGCGAAAGCGUUAAGUGAUCCACCUGGGGAGUAC